rnacentral:rRNA from 1 species
CGUAAGCAACCUGCCCGAAAGACCGGGACAACAGCUCAAAGGGCUGCUAAUACCGGAUGUGUCCGCUUCCUCACAUGGGGAGGUGAGUAAAUCAUUUAUGGCUUUCGGAGGGGCUUGCGGCCUAUCAGCUAGAUGGCGAGGUAACGGCUCACCAUGGCGACGACGGGUAGCUGGUCUGAGAGGAUGGUCAGCCGGACUGGGACUGAGAUACGGCCCAG